GGAUGUGAGGGUGAUCUGACUGAGACAUCACCCCACUGCUUGCCAGGGUUGACUUGGCUGAUGUGGCUGGCAAGGCAGGUGUCCCCUUCCCUCUUCACAGCUCCCUGUGUGUCCCUCCAGAAAUGCUUGGUGAAAGAGGAAGGCCUUGCCUGUCUUCAGUGAGUAUGUGUGUGUGUGUGUGUGGCGGGGUGUAGUAGCUGUGCUCCCCUGCUAGAAUCCCCAGACAAGUUCCCUUCUAGUCUGCUGUUGGGCUCUUCCUGAUAUGUUAGGG
rnacentral:snRNA from 1 species